rnacentral:lncRNA from 1 species
AUCUCCCUUGCCAGGGUGUUCUCUCUGUAACACAGAUGGGAGGCAGGCACUAGAUUGUUGCUGGGUGGGUGGUGAAAUCCCGGUACAAAGAGGAAGGCCAAGUCCUCUCUCAGGUCUUAGGAAACCUGCGGCCUCUCUCCCUCUGAUCUCCGACUGCCGGACUCAAUCACUACAGGCAGUGUGGUCUCAUUUAAAGAAAAAUAAGUCCUGCUGGGCAAGAAGUUGGGAGGACUGUAUGUUAUUAGUUCCUUGGCGUUUGGAUAGGAGUGUCAGCCAGAUCAGCUGGUGUGUUCAUCUCAUUCUGAGAAUCAGGCUGAAGGAACAACCUCUAUCUGGAACAUGCUUUACAUAUCAGAAGGAGAAGAAAGAAAGCAGGGAAAGAAAACAGGCAUCAUGAUGGCAACUAAAGGGUGAUGAGCUUGUUUCCCACUUCACUGGAAAACAAAAUGGGAAUAUUCAGAAGAUAAGUUCCACAGCUCCCAUAGCAUCUUCCUAUCUACCAGGAUUUGGACCUUCUACACCCUGCUCCCAUUAAGGAAUUAGCCUUGCUCUUGUCCAAAACUAGCCUUUGCGUAUGCCUUAGAUCCUAUCCCCCUUGCUUGCUCACAGGCUUUGCUCCAGCAAUUCUCCCUAUUUUUCCCCUAUACCAUCAGCUUCCUCUCUCUACUAGGUCAUUUCCACCAGCACACAACAAUACUGUCUCUCUCAUCUUAGAAAUGGAAACUAACAAAAUUGAGUUCACUUUUCCUUCUGACACUAUCCCUUUUCUACCUCCCCCACUUUACAGCAAAACUCUUUGAAAGCUGCCUGAAUUUCACUGCUUCCAUUUCCUCUCCUCUUCUCACUUAAACCUACUGCUGCCAGAACCGGGACUCCACCACCUCACCAGACCCCUGCUUGUCAAUAUCAUCAAUGACUUCCAUCUUGCUAAAUCCAUUUCUUGUCCCCAUUGAACUUGACCCUCAGUAACACCUUGUCAAAUUAACCACUCCCUUCUCAUGGAAAUGAUUUCUUGUUUUCUAAGACACUACACAUUUCGUUUUCCUUCAACACCCCUGGAUGCUGCUUCCCAGUCUUGUCCCUUAACCUCCUAGCACUGAAGUGAUGCAGGGCUCAGUCCACAGAUCUCUUCAUCUUUCCUGUUCACUCCAUACUCACCCUCUUGGUAAUUCCCUUCCAGUUUCAUCGUUUAAAUGGCAUCUGUCUGCAAAUGAUUAUCAAAUGUAUGCCUCCAGCCAUGGCCACUGCUCUCAACGUUAGCUUAUCCAUCUAACUGUCAACUCUGUAUCUCUACCUGGACGCCUGAUGGAGGUCUCCAAUGUACCAUGCCCUAAACUGAAAUUUUGAUCUUCUUUAUCCACAGAAUCUGCUCGACCCUAUCUCAGUUAAAGGUAUCUAUGCCCUGGUCUAGAAGGCCUUCAGUAAUUAGAAAGCAUGUAUUUUGUGUGUAUGCCUUGAUAAGUGUUGACUGUAGCUAUAGCAAGGGAUAAUUCAUCAUCAGGAAAUGGUCAGGAGAGUGUCUCCAAAUCUUUUAAGCAUGCGCUAACCUUCAUAUAUAGGGUCCUUGUAUUACCUUUUCUCAAGUUGUACUAUAAUGUCCCGACCUUCAAAAGACCUUAUCCUUGUACAUUUGAGGACUCUUAUCUUUCCUAAUUAAAGUCAGAUGGUUGUCUUGUGGGUUUUCUUCUUCCUUUCUCUUUUGUGAGCUGCCUCUUAACAGCUGUGGUGUGUUGCUAGUGAAUUAUCAGUGGACAG